rnacentral:rRNA from 1 species
ACGGUACCUGCAGAAGAAGCUCCGGCUAACUACGUGCCAGCAGCCGCGGUAAUACGUAGGGGGCGAGCGUUGUCCGGAUUCAUUGGGCGUAAAGAGCUCGUAGGCGGUUCAGUAAGUCAGGUGUGAAAGCUCCGAGCUCAACUCGGAGACGCCAUCUGAUACUGCUGUGACUAGAAUCCAGUAGGGGAGUGUGGAACUCCUGGUGUAGCGGUGGAAUGCGCAGAUAUCAGGAAGAACACCAGCGGCGAAGGCGGCACUCUGGGCUGGUAUUGACGCUGAGGAGCGAAAGUGUGGGUAGCAAACAGGAUUAGAUACCCUGGUAGUCCACACCGUAAACGUUGGGCACUAGGUGUGGGGAGGAAUCAACCCUCUCCGUGCCGUAGCUAACGCAUUAAGUGCCCCGCCUGGGGAGUACGGCCGCAAGGCUAAAACUCAAAGGAAUUGACGGGGGCCCGCACAAGCGGCGGAGCAUGUUGCUUAAUUCGAGGCAACGCGAAGAACCUUACCUAGGUUGAACUACGCAGGAAAAGCCACAGAGAUGUGGUGUCCUUCGGG